rnacentral:rRNA from 2 species
UCUAGAGACAAUAGAGCUGUGGUACCACCUGAUCCCAUUCCGAACUCAGAAGUGAAACGCAGUAUCGCCGAUGGUAGUGUGGGGUUUCCCCAUGUGAGAGUAGGUAAUUUCUAGGC